rnacentral:rRNA from 1 species
AGCUGCUUCUUCUGUGUUCUGAAUCUAGUCUAGCCCCUUCCUAACCUCAGCUGAUCUCGAAAGCUAAGUAGGAUGAAACUUGAUUAGUAUUUGGAUGAGAGGCCACCAGGAAAUUCCAGGGCUGUAGCCA